AUGAGUAGCUCGCACUAUCCGGCUGCUGUGGUGGACGAGAGUAAUGCUAAGAUGGCAGUGAGGGAGUGGGUUGGGUGGGAGGAGAUCGUGCUGGAGGGCGGCGACGGCGAGGAGCGCAAGGUGUGCUACUUCCUCCUCUACGCGCCGCCCCAGGACGGCGGUAAGAGUGAGAGGGAUCUAGCGGUGGUGGGUAAGUAUUGGGGACCUGGUAACAUAGCGUACUCGGCGGACUUGCAGUUCCUGCAAUCCCUCCGGACGUCGCUCGAGUCUGGGUCGGCGUCCGCUAGGGUGGUGACGCUGGUGUUGGAGAUCACCCAGAUCAGGUGGAAGUCUAGGAAAGAGGUCAUGGACUGGCUCACCUCGCUCGUCUCAGAUCCCCCGUAUGGAGCCUUUGGAUUGACUUGUCCCGACUACCAUGACGGUGCAUCUAAGGAUACCCCCUCAACACUCUCUACUGCCGGGGAAAAUAAAGAAGGGUUCACAUGGAUAUGCAAAUUGCGCCAUCUUGAUCAACGUCGCAAGCACUACAAAUCCUUUUGCCGAGAGGGAAUGAGAAUUUCGGUUCAUGAUUUUGUGUUUAUCAAGAGUGGAGGGAGAGAGAGCCAUGUUGCAUAUGUGGAAGAUAUGUACGAAGAUGGCAGUGCUAAGAACAUGGUGCUGGUACGAUGGUUUGAGGAACCUGAUGGUGAGCACGGUGUUGCAUUGCCCCCAGAUCUUUAUUGUAGGGAGAUCUUCUUUGGAUAUGGGCUGCAAGAUCUGAGGGUUGAAUUUGUGGAGGGGGUGGCAGCGGUCCUAAAUCCACAACACUUUGAGAUGUUCAAGAAAAUAAAUGGAGGGAGCAGUAGCUGGCAGCCCUAUGUAUGUCGUCGGUGCAUCGAUGAUGGCACCGUCGAGCCCUUUGACAUCGCGCAACUCCAAGGAUAUGCAAACCAGGAGAUAGUGAAGGAAAUUGUUGCCGCAUCCUCCUCGACGGUGGUGCAGGCCAAGCCACCUAAUAACAAUGGUAAAGCUUCCAUUACUGGUCUGGCCGCCAAGAAUCAUGUUGGUUCUUCCAGCACUGUUACCGGUGACAAAACCAUGGAUACACAGAAGCAGAAGCCCCCUCCAUGCAGCGUAACUCCUUCCAGCGUUGUUAUCGGUGGCAAAACCAUGGAGAAGCAGAAGGAGAAGGCCCCUGCAUGCAGCACAACUCCUUCCAGUUCCGGCUCUGUUAUCAAUGACAAAACCAUGGAGAAGCAGAAGCCUCCUCCAUGCAGCGCAACUACUUCCACUUCCAGCACUGUUAUCGAUGACAACAAAACCAUGGAGAAGCAGAAGGAGAUGCCCCCUCCAUGCAGCACAACUCCUUCCAAUUCCAGCUCUGUUAUCAAUGACAAAAACAUGGAGAAGCAGAAGCCUCCUCCAUGCAGCGCAAUUGCUUCCACUUCCAGCACUGUUAUCGAUGACAACAAAACCAUGGAGAAGCAAAAGGAGAUGCCCCCUCCAUGCAGCGCGACUCCACAGAGCACCACCAUUGGCCAGAUCGUCAAAAGCAGUGUCGUUCCCCGUAGCGUGGUGAACUGUCAGACCAUCGCGCAUAAUCAGCCGCCCCCAAGUGGUACUAGUACGUGUAAUGUAGCAGUCAAUGAUGCGUCAACCAUGCUGAACCCUGAGAAGAUGUUCCAGCCCGGCUGCCGUCUUGAAGCCCUGUCCCAAGACAGCAGCGUGAGGGGUUGUUGGUUCAAAUGUGUGGUACUCAGUAGGAGGGAGAAAGAUAACAAGGUCAGGGUGCGGUACCAAGACAUUCUGAAUUCCGAGGGCAAGGGACAGCUCAGGGAAUCUCUCAAAGUUGCAAGAAUUGCGGAACCUGACCACUUGAGCAUACGCCUUACUAAAAGGCCCAUGCUUCGCCCACACCUCCCAAGACACUACAGGAAGAUCGAGUCUCCGGUGGCUGUCGGGGUCAUCGUCGACGCGCGGCUGAAGGGCGGAUGGUGGGAGGGGAUCGUGUUGCAGCAGGAGACUGCUGGCCACGUCCAAGUUUAUCUCCAAGGGGAGGGGAGACUUGUGGAGCUCCAAGUGGAGUGUCUGCGAAAGUCAUUUGAGUGGCAUGAGGAGCAAUGGAUUCCUCUAGAUGCAAGAAAGGAUGUUGCAGCCAAGAUAACCCUUGACCUGAAGGGUGGUGAGAGAUCUUCGAAACAGAAGGCUCAAAAGAUGGAUGAGCAGUCUAGCCAGACGGCGGCCGCCGCAGCCGCAGAGCUGGCAGCACCAACUGCAGAACUAGUGCAGCCUCUGGAGGAAGGUGACGAUGAACCUGCAAACUCUGCUCCUCCACGGAAGAGGUUCCUGGCUCAGGGCUACUCUUUCGAGGAAAAAAGGCUGGAGGAGCAUGCCAAAAAGAUCAAAGGUACUGCUAAUGAAGCUGCAAAACCAGUCGCGGCGGAGGGAGAUGGCAUGUCCCACGGCGGCAGCUCAGCUGAUGCCAAGCGGUGCUGGGUUGAUCCUGCAAACUCUGACGGCCUCAAUUGCGCUGAACGCGAGGGCAAGGCUGCGAAAUCUUCUGGCGUGAAGAAAAUGGGGUCUAUGGAGGGCAGCGGCAGCCAGGGAGGCGCCAGUGGAGGCGCUGCGCCGGUGAAGCCGGUGCCCAGGGAGGAGAUUUGCGUCACCAACGCAGAGGCUCCUGCCGUCGCCAUGGACAAAUCGGAGGUGAUCGACCUGACCCUAGAUGACUGA
rnacentral:rRNA from 1 species